rnacentral:rRNA from 1 species
UACGAAGGGGGCGAGCGUUGUUCGGAAUUACUGGGCGUAAAGGGCGCGUAGGCGGCCGAUCAAGUCAGAUGUGAAAGUCCUGGGCUUAACCUGGGGACUGCAUUUGAUACUGAUUGGCUUGAAUGCAGGAGAGGAUAGCGGAAUUCCCAGUGUAGAGGUGAAAUUCGUAGAUAUUGGGAAGAACACCGGUGGCGAAGGCGGCUAUCUGGACUGUGAUUGACGCUGAGGAGCGAAAGCCAGGGGAGCAAACGGG